CCGUGAUUUCCACAGGAGAAGCUUCCAAAACAAAAAUCUGCUUCCAUCUGGAAAGGCCUUUCCAGCUUGGCCAUCUGCUCCGUGAGGGGAAAGCCUGAUGCUUCUUGAGCCCUUGUAAGUGAGCGUGUUGUUCAGUCAGGCCAGCCUCUGCACUCAUGGCAGGAAGAGAAACCACAGCUGGGACUUCAGACUAGAACAGAUGCAAAUGCUCAACUGAUAGAUACCAUCUGGCAGCCUGGAAAAGCUCCAGUGGAGGAGAAGUGAACUCAGGUAUGCUCAAAGAGGACAGAGCAGAUUGGCUUGGGCCUCCUGGACAAGAGACCAUGCCCCAGGCAGCUCAGCGGAGAGAGAGGACGGGCUGGGGCGGAUGGAGACUUGGGGCUGCCACUCGGUCAGGUCACUUGGGGUUACAGCCCACAGGCACAUACCAGGUGGGCUGCUGGGGGUCCUGGGCAGCUGCUGCCUCUCCUUCUCGCAGGUAGGUCCUUGAAGGGCAAGGGGACAGGUGAGUAUCUUCUCCAAUCACUUGGAGCCCCACCCACCGUGCUAGGGUCAGAGGGCAGCUGGUGUUUGGCCCUGGCAGCCCUAGAAGCUG
rnacentral:lncRNA from 1 species